UUGAACUACAUAAGUUACAUAAAAAUUUAUUUACAAGAGAUAUUACCGGUUGAAAUUUCAAGUUUAUUUUGACGACGUAAAACAUCUCAUAAUACUCGAGAAUCUCCGGUAGACCCUUCCCACCCAGGCAACACAUAACUAAACCUUAAAUUUGGACCACAAGUUGCAAACACAUUUACAGAGACAUUAGCUUUUCUAUUAUGAUAUCUAGGCCUAUCUGUAGGGGAAAUUAACAUCGAAAUAUGUGUCUCAUCAAGUGUUUCAACACAAUCCUACAAACAACACAACUUUAUUAAUAUAUUUAGUUUCUGAAAAAUGUUUAUAGUUAGUUAAUCUAGCCUAAAUAUUGAUAAACUUACCUUAAACCAACUUCAUUUAAUUGACU
rnacentral:lncRNA from 1 species